AGUGAACGCUGGCGGUAGGCCUAACGCAUGCAAGUCGAACGGCAGCACAGUAAGAGCUUGCUCUUACGGGUGGCGAGUGGCGGACGGGUGAGGAAUACAUCGGAAUCUACUUUUUCGUGGGGGAUAACGUAGGGAAACUUACGCUAAUACCGCAUACGACCUACGGGUGAAAGCAGGGGAUCUUCGGACCUUGCGCGAUUGAAUGAGCCGAGGUCGGAUUAGCUAGUUGGCGGGGUAAAGGCCCACCAAGGCGACGAUCCGUAGCUGGUCUGAGAGGAUGAUCAGCCACACUGGAACUGAGACACGGUCCAGACUCCUACGGGAGGCAGCAGUGGGGAAUAUUGGACAAUGGGCGCAAGCCUGAUCCAGCCAUACCGCGUGGGUGAAGAAGGCCUUCGGGUUGUAAAGCCCUUUUGUUGGGAAAGAAAAGCAGCAGGUUAAUACCCCGCUGUUCUGACGGUACCCAAAGAAUAAGCACCGGCUAACUUCGUG
rnacentral:rRNA from 1 species